rnacentral:rRNA from 1 species
CCAGACUCCUACGGGAGGCAGCAGUGAGGAAUAUUGGUCAAUGGUCGGGAGACUGAACCAGCCAAGCCGCGUGAGGGAUGAAGGUACAGAGUAUCGUAAACCUCUUUUGUCAGGGAACAAAGGCGGGGACGCGUCCCCGGAUGAGUGUACCUGAAGAAAAAGCAUCGGCUAACUCCGUGCCAGCAGCCGCGGUAAUACGGAGGAUGCGAGCGUUAUCCGGAUUUAUUGGGUUUAAAGGGUGCGUAGGCGGUUCGUUAAGUCAGCGGUAAAAUUGCGGGGCUCAACCCCGGCGAGCCGUUGAAACUGGCAGACUUGAGUUGGCGAGAAGUACGCGGAAUGCGCGGUGUAGCGGUGAAAUGCAUAGAUAUCACGCAGAACUCCGAUUGCGAAGGCAGCAUACCGGCGCGCAACUGACGCUCAUGCACGAAAGCGUGAGUAUCGAACAGGAUUAGAUACCCCCGUAUU